rnacentral:rRNA from 1 species
AUUGAACGCUGGCGGCAGGCCUAACACAUGCAAGUCGAGCGGAUGAAGGGAGCUUGCUCCUGGAUUCAGCGGCGGACGGGUGAGUAAUGCCUAGGAAUCUGCCUGGUAGUGGGGGAUAACGUCCGGAAACGGGCGCUAAUACCGCAUACGUCCUGAGGGAGAAAGUGGGGGAUCUUCGGACCUCACGCUAUCAGAUGAGCCUAGGUCGGAUUAGCUAGUUGGUGGGGUAAAGGCCUACCUAGGCGACGAUCCGUAACUGGUCUGAGAGGAUGAUCAGUCACACUGGAACUGAGACACGGACCAGACUCCUACGGGAGGCAGCAGUGGGGAAUAUUGGACAAUGGGCGAAAGCCUGAUCCAGCCAUGCCGCGUGUGAGAAGAAGGUCUUCGGAUUGUAAAGCACUUUAAGUUGGGAGGAAGGGCAGUAAGUUAAUACCUUGCUGUUUUGACGUUACCAACAGAAUAAGCACCGGCUAACUUCGUG